CUGUCUCCAUUUUUACUGUACCCGGUAUUGUUUUACAUAAAGACCCAGGAAUGAGAUCUUCUUCCCUGGCAAAUUCAGGGAAAAUUCGUCGACAGAGUAUGUUGUUUUAAGCUGGAAAGAGUUAGUGAAAAACCAGACAGUAGCAGCGGUGUCGUCAUGGAGACAGUCAUGUGAUCACCUUGUGAUAAAAUACUUAGCUGUUUAUUGUUGUGACCUUGUCAGUGUGAUAAAGAUCACCAUAGUAACCAAUAACCCUGUGGUCAUAUGAUGACAUAUUUACCCAGAAACACCUAUACUGUAGAAUGAAUGGCACUGAGUAAGGAGAGAUCUGAUUGGUCAACUUUUACCCAAUCAGUUUGGCUUUUUAAAAAGGGAAUAUGGAAUCAAGAUCUAGAAUUCAGCACAGCAUAUCACGGAUAUUACUUAGCAACAGGAAUAGUAGUCUGAUUCCUGUAUAGAGGUCUCACAUCUCGUAGAUUUAGAUUUUUAUGGACGAUUCACUCAUACAAUGCUUCACAGUUUUGUGACUUAUGUAUAAAGUAUGUCUAAAGAAGCAGGUUUUUCAUUUUAUUUUUCCAUCAUCUGAAAAUGGACCAUACCUCAUUCUGUGUAUCAACCUCAGCGGAAUUCUGAAGUCAGGAUUUGUAUUGAUGUCAGACCAAGUGAUUGUUCUUUGAGGCUAUAUUCUUAUAUUUAAUUCAUUUAAUACUCCAUGCAGAUAAAUUCUGAUAUUACCCCUUAUUACAAUGUCUCUGAUAAAAAGAAAAAAAAAAGUUGGUUACCUCUAGUGCUCUAAACUGUAAGAAAGAGAGUAACAAAAGGAUUUUUAAUUUUUAUUUCUGUGCAUGAUGUCUCUUUGAGGAAUUUUAAAUAUUUAUAUUCAGAUUUUUGUUACAGAAGACUUAUUUUUGAAGUUGACUGUUAAUGGUAUUGUGUGUAUAAUGAUUUUUUAUGGUACAUAUCUUUGAUUGUGAUUUGGUCCUAUGAAAAGGGCCACAUCAGUGUGCUUGAAGGUUGAUAUACAUGUAUCUGAUGAUGUGUUAUUUGCUAACAAUCUGCUAACAAACCGUAAGAAAAGUCAGGUCUGAAAGUUAAAUUUAAUAGAAUGCUAGUUCCAUUCUGAUAAUAUGAUUAAUCAUGAUAUUAUAUGAAACUAGUGAGAAAAAUUAAUUAAAAUAUAAAAAUCUAUAAAAAUAUAAUUAAAAAAAUUAAUACGAUGGUGUUUGAUACAAGAAAAAAAUCUUUUGAGGAAUCUCUUGUGUUUGUUGAUAAAAUUCAGGGUAAGGGAAAAAGUGUUCAUUUAUAAAUGCAACUAUAAAAUUAAAAAUACGAGUUAGAAAAAUGUAUACUGAUUGUAACCUGACUUAGGAGAGGGCUAAAUUAGGCUGUGCCUAGAUGUUGCCCAAUAUCCUAUUCCCUUGAUUCCUGAUUAUAUUUUGGCAUUGUACAGUAAUAAAAUAAAAAUAAGUUUCAACAGCAAUAUUUAUUUAUUAGUAUAAAUAGUCAAAAUUCAUGACUAUACUAGGAAUUAAGAAUAAUUUUCUUGCACAAGGGUGUCCAUAUUCUUGUAACAUGUCUCAUGGCAUAUUUUUUCUUGCAGUCAAAAGGAAGACUUUUAUAAGAAGCACAAUGUAUUUGCAUGUCACAUCAAUAUCAGUUAUACUUAUGUGUUGAUUUUGUACAAUAUGGACUGAUUCGCCUGUCAUGACAUUUUUUUGUUAUAAAAAUAAUGACAUCAUCAGUUGAUGCAUACUCACAUCAUCAUUUCAUGUGUACAUUUUUUUUCUCUGGUGCCUAUACAUGUGCAUUCAUUUGUCAGUGCCAUUUUUGUAACAAAGAAUCAGGUUGAUUUUGUAAAAGCAUUUAGUUAACAUAUAUUUUAUUAGGAUAUCUAUAUGCAUUAAAAUUACUCAGCCUGAAGAGAAA